rnacentral:rRNA from 1 species
UACGAAUGGGGCAAGCGUUGUUCGGAAUCACUGGGCUUAAAGCGUGCGCAGGCGGAUAUGCAAGUCAGGAGUGAAAUCCCAGGGCUCAACCCUGGAACUGCUCUUGAAACUGCAUAUCUAGAAUACCGGAGAGGUUGGGAGAAUUCCUAGUGUAGAGGUGAAAUUCGCAGAUAUUAGGAGGAAUACCAGUGGCGUAGGCGCCCAACUGGACGGUCAUUGACGCUCAUGUACGAAAGCGUGGGGAGCAAACAGG